rnacentral:misc_RNA from 1 species
GAUGAAGAACGUAGCGAAAUGCGAUAAGUAAUGUGAAUUGCAGAAUUCAGUGAAUCAUCGAAUCUUUGAACGCACAUUGCGCCCGCCAGUAAUCUGGCGGGCAUGCCUGUUCGAGCGUCAUUUCAACCCUCAAGACCCCUUCGGGGGACUUGGUGUUGGGGACCGGCACAGGGGCCUGCCUGCUUGUCUUGCAGCGCCCUCGCCGCCCCCGAAAUGAAUUGGCGGCCUCGUCGCGGCCUCCCCUGCGUAGUAGCACAAACCUCGCAACGGGAACGUGACGGCGGCCACUGCCGUAAAACAACCCAAUUUUAUUAGAGUUGACCUCGAAUCAGGUAGGAAUACCCGCUGAACUUAAGCAUAUCAAUAAGCGGAGGA